rnacentral:tRNA from 1 species
GGAGGUAUAGCUCAGUGGGUAGAGUGUUUGCCUUGCAUACACAAGCCCUGGGUUCAAUCCACAGCACCGCCA